GUUGUAUUUCCCUGUUCUUCAAUCUGUUUGUAAACAUGUAACACCGGCCGCUUAAUCUGUUCUGUAUUUCCCUUUGCCUACUAUCCCUAUGGUGUUCAUCAUCUCAGGGAUUUGCUGGCACUGGAUCCAGUAGGAGGAGAUCCCUGUGGCAUUUGAUUCUUGUGGGAUUCCCACACAUCUUGCAGGAUCAACAGGUUAUCAACACCUUCUCAGUCCCUCUGCACCCAUGACCCAGGUUUGGUUCCUCUGGUGGUGGAGGAUUUUUUUUGUUCUAUUCGGAUGUGGGUUUCCGUACAUGAUCACAUGAUAAUGCCAUGAGUGACUAUGGGCCACUACCAAGAAGAGGCUCUAAUUAGCUUCAUUGAUAUGUUGCUUUGCUGAGCACGACACAAAUCGAAAGACUUUUCUGUACCAGGCCAAACCAACUACUUGCAUAUUGAAGAAACUUCCAUGAUGUUUUACGUGUGGAUUCUAACAACUGAUCUAGCGUAUAUGUUAUCAUAGCAGAAUAAGAGAUGCGCUCAAACCAGUGGAUUUUUCAUCCAAGAUGCUUUUAUAAGAAAUGCGGCAAACAUCAGUAAUGGACUGCACCAGGUAGUGAAGCUGCACAUCAGGGGAGCCCAAUGUAUCAUCUCUGUGCCAUGGGGUGUGUCGUGGGGACUGAUCCGUGGCUGAGGUCGACAAAAAAAACAGGGGAGCCCACGAACAACCAAAUUCCAGACUGGUUUUUGUCAUAUCGGACAUUAGUCAUGAAAGUUGCAGUCUUUCAUUUUUAUCAUACAAAGCACACUGAUUGGUUCUCAUGGGAUAGCGAUGCCUUUCAGUUGUUCUUGUCUGUACAUCCGAGUAAGGAUAACUACACACUUCUAAAAUUGUCAGUACAUACAAAUUGAUCUUUCUGGUGAUUGCUUUGGUAAUAACUACAAACUUCUAAAUUUGUCAUCUUUUUGGUUUGCAUAGCUAAUUUCCCCUGAGGAUUGUAGUAACGUUUAAACAAGUAUUUACACUUCUAAACAAGUAUGGAAAAAGGCGACUUGCUUGAACUGAAUCAGCCAUAAACCUCCCUUAAUUAUGUGCAUGUCUACAAAAACUUUAGGUCUGCCUCCCUGUAGAAAUACACAAGUAUAUUUGUAACACUUAGAUGCUUGCCUAUGUAAGCUUGCAUCACAGACCAGCAAGGAGGAAGACGAAGCCCGGGUUCAGCCCCGUUGGAGUUGGCAUCUGCUCACAGCAAGCUGCAGAUGAUGUCCGUAUUUUGUUUCUUUUCUCCUGUGGCAAACACAAGCAGGUGCUGAGAUAAGGCAGAAUUAUAUUCAGAUUCGUAGCUGCUAGGUAGUAUAUUUUAGCACUAAGUUUCUUUUAAAUUAUGGGCAUAAUCUGUGCGGAAUUUCAAUUUACUCCUAAAACAACAGUUGUAGCUCUUGUUUUUAUGUUUCCAAUGGUGCUGGUUUCACUGAAAUUUGAUUGGUAGUUUAGGAGUUAGGCCAGAAAAGGUGCUACUGUUUAGUAAUAGCGAGGCUGUGAGAAGAUCUAUUUACCUAUGUUCAACCAAGUUAGAGACAGUUUCAGUCCCAAUCACCUUAAAUAAAGUUGUAGGAAAUUCUCUAUGGGUAUCUUAAAAUAGUUUAUUUACUGAGAUCGGUUAAGUGGUUUAAAAGCUAUGAACAGAACAAUGAGUGACUCAGUAACUCAGUUUAAGUUUCAGCUAAAUUUAGAACUGGUUAUUUAGGUUUUUUACUCCAGGGAAAUAUUAAUGUAUUCAUGAAAUAGAUAUUUAAGUUUUUUUGUAUGUGAGUUGAUAUAACUUUUAUGUACUGCAGGCAGUUCGUUUAAAUCCACAUAACAGUGCCUUUAGUAGGCGAUAGCAAGGUAGUCAGACAAUCUUAGUUUGGGGAAAUAAGAUAGGUUACCUGACGAUACAUUGAAAGAGAAAGGAAUAUUGAUAUUUUGUCGAUGACGUGAACUGCAAAAGGAUGCUCUUGGUGACAGCAUCCUGGGCUUCUGAAACAUGCUCAGUUUAGCUGAAAUGAUGUAUUCAAUUAUGCAGAGAGAUGGAAUUGUUCGAACUCGAGUGCCACCAAUCGACGGCAUACCAAGACAUUACCACGAGAGCAGCGGUGCUUCCAGGAUGAAGAAUGAAUGCAUGUCAUUCAGGGAUAACUGUGGGCAAUGAAAUGUUGAAGGGUCCAUCUCUCACCCCACUCCAUAUAGAUGCUUAGUUCUUCAUGGCGAUUGUCUCUAAUGUUUUUGUUUGUAAUAUAUUUUGGCUUGGAAAUAUAAAAACUCAAUGCCGCCUGUCACACAAUUUUUUGUCGUCCGGGCAAACCCCCCUUUCCAUUAAUUUCUUGAUGUAUGGUUAUUGAUGCAGUCUUCUAGACGAAGAUGGAUUUAGGCUGUGUGAUUCCAUAGUAUACCUUGCACUUCCUUUAAGCAUGAAUAUCUGAACGUGCACGGUGUAUAUUUCUCAGCCAUGUUGUUUUUCUAUUUAUAUUUUCAGGACACAUAAAGUACAUGUAUUGCAUUAGAAUAUAACUUCUACUUCUGUGCUAUUAUUUUCCUUCAUGGUAUAUGUGGCAGAACACCAUGUAUAUCUAACAUCUUCAGGUUUCAGGAUUUAAAUGCCCUUUGUUUUCUGUAGGUGGUUACCUGAGAUUUUAUUUGAUUACUCUAUUAGAUCGUAAGCAAAUUAAGACAUAUGUUGAUCUUGCAAUUGAUAGCAUUUCCUGUCAUAUUGUUGAUUCUCUUACAGAUCCACCACCUCAGAUGGUGCUGACAGGGUGCAAAGCAGUCUUCCUUAGAGCUUUGGUACCGGGUUUUAAGGAGAACAUUUGCCCUCAUGAAGCCCCACUUUGUGGUGAUUGCAGCUGUAGCUAAGGAGGGUACCCGUCAGCGCCAGCUCACUGCUUGCCUAUGUAAUCAAUCUAUAUUUCCAACCUUUUUGUUUAUGGUAAGUAGAACAACGCCUAGAAAGAAUGAAAGACUGUUUCUAAAUUCUAAUUACCUUUGCUGCAUCUAACCUAACUGCCAUGCCUAUGUGACCACUAAAGCAAAUACCAUUGUUUCAUCUGCAGCGUAGUCCAGAUUUAGUUUUAGUGAUUUCUUAACCCUUUUGUUCUUGCUCUGAAGAUUAAGACAUGCACGGGCCUUAGACUAUAGUAAGCAUCUAUGUUAUACGCAUCUUUUCAUUGCCGCGUAUACUAAAUGUAAUCAGGGACUUACUAAUAUUGAUGUAUCCCCUCAGUUGUAUUGGUACUACUACAUAUUCGUCAUGACACUACCAAUUAUAUAUAGCAAAUUCAAAGGUGUCUAUAUGAUGCAUCUCUACCUAUGUGUCUUGCUUGUUAAAAACAAUGUAAAUAAGCUACAAGAUAACUAAAGAAGCAUACAACUAUGUGGAGGAAGUGUGUGCUACAUCAAACAAAAUUCAUGGCCUUGCUGGCAUUAGCCUUGGACCCUGCUGCCUCAAUGUCUGUUUCUAAUCUGAAGCAGGCUCUCAUGGAGAUUCACGAUGUAGUGGUCGCACUUCAAAACACUGCAACCACAACAUCUCAGUUCCUAGAGGAAAAAGGCAUGUACUCAGAUGAUGAAGUGCCUGAUCCAUUCUAUAGGGGCAUUCUGAUGAAGAUUCAGCUGAUGAUUGUCAUCAAGACAUGGACGACGACUACGGUCACUAUGUCCGAUCCCCAUGAGCAUCAUAUUCAGCCUGCUAAGCUGUCUGAUGCCAUGUGAAGCUGUAUAUGUAUAGCUUCACCAUUACGACUUGGUUCUGUGGCUGUUGUGUUUAUUCUCCUAUGCUGGCUGAAUAAGAUGCGAAGCUCUUUGUUUAUAGCUUUGCCUUAGAUUUUUUUUCCUUUUUGAACUGCACUAUGGUCAUGUAUAAGUAUGAAAUCCAUGUUGAUGCGUUGAGCUUAUUUAUCUAUGUUGCAUCUUUGCUUUUGCCCA